UACAGAGGUCUCAAGCGUUGUUCGGAUUCAUUGGGCGUAAAGGGUGCGUAGGCGGCGCGGUAAGUCGGGUGUGAAAUCUCGGAGCUUAACUCCGAAACUGCAUUCGAUACUGCCGUGCUUGAGGACUGGAGAGGAGACUGGAAUUUACGGUGUAGCGGUGAAAUGCGUAGAUAUCGUAAGGAAGACCAGUGGCGAAGGCGGGUCUCUGAACAGUUCCUGACGCUGAGGCACGAAGGCCAGGGGAGCAAACGGG
rnacentral:rRNA from 1 species